ensembl:lncRNA
GCAGUUUUUUGCCCAAGGAUGAGGUGCCGGAAUUUCUACUGGCGGAUCUCGCUGAACAACAAGGUACUGUGCCACCAUGUCAACGUGACAGUGUGUCCCAGAUCACCUCCUUUUCUAAAGGGGACCCAUGGAAGCAAUGGGUUCAGGAAGUGCUGAGGGAUCAGCAGGGCCAGGUGAUACGGAGGGCUGGGAACGAGUGGUAGUUGGACAGCACGGUGACCCCCCUUGGAAGCCUGACCCCAAGGGAUGAGGGGCCAGGCCAGGCGGCAGCAGCAGGUGCACGCGCAUCUGGCAUGGCUUCUUGUGGUCAGCUUCUCAGAGAUGCAGCUGUGAACAGCUUCCUUGUUUUGUGCUUCCAGAGGCUCAAGAACGCCAGUUCCUUCGUGGCCACUUUCCACCCCUGCGGACGAGUGACCUCGACCUGCUGGCAGAAGAGGAGACUGCAGAGGUGUCUGUAAGGUGAGGGCUUUGGGAACUGACAGCGUGACGCCCUGAGCUCCCGGUUGUGUGCGAGGAGCCCUUGCCCGGUCCCGGGCACGCUGAGCCGCCUCCAGGCUCCGGCUGCUCUCCAACAAGCGCCCCGUGUUGCUUGCAGUGUGCUGCCGCCUAUGGGAAAGAGCUGGGCACAGAGUCGCCUGGAGAUCGAGCGGGAGGGAGUGGUCAGGCUCCCUCCCCUGCGCGCACGGCUGGGAAGAUCACUGGCAAGGCAGCAGUUCAGAGCACCCCAAGUCCAGCAGCGCUUCCCCCCACUGAAGAACACCCCCCAGGAGGGGGAGAAAGCGCAGCCAGGAAAAAUCUCCAGCAAGGAGACAAGCAAAGAGAUUGCUUCCCACCUUCGUCAAGCAGAGAAUGGGAGGACAGUGGCCCCACCAGCAGAGAUGGCAGUGCCCACUGUCCAGUCACUACGGGCAAGACAGGUCCUGGGAACCUUGGAGUCCUACAAGGUGUGCCGGGAAGGAUGGAGGAAGAAGGUGGAGGAAAACAGGCUCCUUCCUGCCAGACCCAAGGAGCGCCUCUGCUUUGUGAAGAAGAUGGAGCUCCAGGAGGCCAGAGGAAAACACAAGAACAUGUGAGAGCACACCACGGGCUCACAGUUCAGCCAAUUCCUACCGCGCCCACUCACACCGUGGCAAUAAACAACGAAGCCCCAGGAUUGACAGCAGUGGGGCUGAGAGGAGGCACAUUGAUACAGGAGCUGCCUCCCUUGUUACCACCAUUGUCUCUGCUGCAACAGCAAAGCAGAGCCAUUCUUAGUACAAGAAGUGCCAAAUAAACAUCCUUGGAACUUCUUUGAAGCUGGGGAGUCAUCUUUCUUUGUCUUACGGCGUGUUCUCCUGCAGGGCGUUGGAAAGGGCGGUCUGCUAGGUCCUGUGAGGAUAGUACUAAACUAGGAGGAACUGCUGACUCCCUGGAGGGAAGCUUGGCCUCGGAGA